CGAUCUAUUGGAAACAAGUUCACUAAGUGAAAAAGCUAAAGCCGGGGAGCAUGAAGAAAAAGAGAUCUACCAAAAUCAGUUGAAACUUGAUUCAGAGACUAGAAGCCACAAAGCAAAUUAUGGAGAGCACAAAUAAUUCAGCUGAUGCACUCUCAGAGAGGUAUUUCUUAUUGUCUACACCUGAUUCAUAUACUCUAGAUUUUAAAUUGCUGGAAGAAGUGGAUUUUAAUUUUGGAGAUUCAGCAUUUUCCAGACCAGAGAACAAAGUUCAGAAAUUGCUGAC
rnacentral:lncRNA from 1 species